ACCUAAUGUCCUCCGUCCUGGCCCCCACCCCUGAGCGGUGGGCGGGGGCCCUAAAUUGGAAUAAGGGGGGGGAACUAAUGUCCCCCCCCCCUGAGCGGCGGUUGGGGGCCCUAAAUACUAAUAAGGGGGGGAUCUAAUGUCCUCCCCCCUGGCCCCCACCCUUGAGCAGUGGGUGGGGGCCCUAAAUUAGAAUGAGGGGGAGGACCUAAUGUCCUUACUGCAUGGACUCUAUCCUUACAGGGAUGGCCGUUAG